rnacentral:misc_RNA from 1 species
AACGCAUCUUGCGCUCCUUGGUCAUUCCGAGGAGCAUGCCUGUUUGAGUGUCAUCUAAGUUCUCAACCACACUGAUUAUUUUCUGGCGUGGCUUGGAUAUGGGGGUUUUUCCAUCUGCAGGCCUCGGAAAAUGAGGUCGGCUCCCCUGAAAUGAAUUAGUAGUAUCUGAGCAGAGAAAAACUACCACAGGUGUGAUUAAUUUAUCUAUCUAUGCCUUGGUGUGCUGCAGAGACAUAUCGCACUGCUUACAACAAGUGGAAUGCCCACAUUUGAUGAAUUUGACCUCAAAUCAGGUAGGACUACCCGCUGAACUUAA